CCAUAAGCAUCCUAAAAUUACAAGCUACUUCCAUCGCUCUUGGCUACCUUCCAUCCAGAACUUGACAAUAAGACCCUAUUCCUAUUGUCUUAUGUUGAAGACAUCACUUACUUGAAUCAUAAACAUGGAGAAAUUGAGUGUGUGCUGAUCGCAAAGCCUCAUCCCUACCAGCAUCUAGUUUUCAUAAUGUUGGAAGGUGCCAUGAACAGUACCAGAGAAGAACAGUAAUCCAGCUCUGAAACAUUUUGAACUACAUUGAUGUGUGGCUUGACAAGACGAUGAAGCUCCUGGUGCAGCCGUUGGCACUGCCACAAGGGAAGAAUCCCAUUAAAUAAAGGAGUUAGCAUUUUUUAACCACGCCAUACGAAUUCAUGUAAAUAACACCACUGUAUUCUCUCAAAGACAAGGAUUUCUUCUGCAACAAGAAUGAGUAAUCCCAAUUUGGGCUUAUUUGGGGUAUAUUAUUCUGUAAGAUAAAACUGAAGAAAGAACAUAAGAGGAAAAGAAUAAUAGAAGCACCAACGGAAUAUUGGAAAAAAAAGAGAAGCAUCAAAAGUUGUCCAGCACCAGGGAACUUCACCAAUGAUAGCUCAACAACAUGGCUGCCUAAGCAAGACCUAAAGAAGUACAACACCAAGAGAUAUGCUAACAGGGAAAUCAGAAAUGACCACAAAAUAAAAACUUUUACCACACACUUGAAGCAAAAACAAUA